AUUGAACGCUGGCGGCAGGCCUAACACAUGCAAGUCGAGCGGAUGAAGGGAGCUUGCUCCUGGAUUCAGCGGCGGACGGGUGAGUAAUGCCUAGGAAUCUGCCUGGUAGUGGGGGAUAACGUCCGGAAACGGGCGCUAAUACCGCAUACGUCCUGAGGGAGAAAGUGGGGGAUCUUCGGACCUCACGCUAUCAGAUGAGCCUAGGUCGGAUUAGCUAGUUGGUGGGGUAAAGGCCUACCAAGGCGACGAUCCGUAACUGGUCUGAGAGGAUGAUCAGUCACACUGGAACUGAGACACGGUCCAGACUCCUACGGGAGGCAGCAGUGGGGAAUAUUGGACAAAGGGCAAAAGCCUGAUCCAGCCAUGCCGCGUGUGUGAAGAAGGUCUUCGGAUUGUAAAGCACUUUAAGUUGGGAGGAAGGGCAGUAAGUUAAUACCUUGCUGUUUUGACGUUACCAACAGAAUAAGCACCGGCUAACUUCGUG
rnacentral:rRNA from 1 species